GCGUGGAAAAACAAACGUAAGCCCAGGUGCCCGCGCACCCGGAAGGAGAGAAUGCGGGAAGCGAACAGGACACUGAGUGCAGAGGCAGUGGCUAAGAGCCAUAGCACAGAAUCCAGACUGAAUACGGGUUUGAAUCCGCCUUUCUAUCAUCUAUGUGAUCACAGGUAGGUCACCUCAUCUCUUCUGACCUCAGUUUCCUCAUCUCUAAAGUGGAGAUGUUUAUAGCACCUCCUUCUUAGAAUUGCUGAGAAUGUUACAGAAUUAGUUUACGUGGGUAAACUAACUGUGCCUGGCAUAGAGGCAUAGAGCAAGUGCUUCUUAUUAUUAGGCUGUUCUAAAGUUUAAAUUCAAGUGACUCUAUUUGAAUUGAGUUGAUGGUACUUUUUCAUAUGUUUGAAAUUUUGGCUGGCCAACUUUCCUGACUCCAAAUAAAGCAGUACUCCCCACAACA
rnacentral:lncRNA from 1 species